rnacentral:lncRNA from 1 species
UCGAGGCUCUCUUCUCCUCCGUCUGCAUCUCCCCUCCCGGUCAACACGGAGGGCUCAGCCAAUUCGCCCCAAUAGAGAUAUUCAAACCCUCCUGAAGAACCCUAGUAAUCUGUUUCCCCUAUCCCUCUCCUCGACCAAUUCAGAAUCGAUUUUGAAUCAAGAGGAGGGAUCAGGGAGUAAAAAGAAAUGUCGUCGGAGAUCGAAGUAGUGGAGGAGGAGAUUGUUAAUUCCGCCAAUCACGCGGGGAUUACUGCUGCUUCUGCCAAUGGCGGCG